rnacentral:lncRNA from 1 species
CGAGGCGAAAUAAUAGGGGUUGAAAUCAUCGAUUCUGCAGUGCUCCGAGAAGGAUUCGGCAACCAUCACCUCCUAGGCAGUAUGAUAGCUACACGCCCCUGAAUGUUCCUUGGAGAGAGGUGUUGUUACAAGUAUGGCCCGAGUUAUCUGAGACCUAGCUGAUGAGAAUAAGAUCGAAAUGCCGUCGAGAUCCGAAUAGAUACUCCUUUUACCAUCAUGAUCAAGAUCACGAUACUGAAGACUGCCACCAGCAACCAGAUUGAGAGGCUUGUCAGGCAGGGACGGCUGAAUCAUUUUGUCCGAAGAGCGGCCCUUCAACAUCGAGCUUCGAGAGUUCAGCAGCUACCCCCUCUACUUCAAUAGCCUCUCUCUCAGCCUCAGCCGCAGCAAACACCAACACAACAGGAAUG